ACUUACUUCGCCCAUUUUGUGGUCAUCAACUUGAUCAAUUAAAACGAACAUUCCGAUACCUCCUAACUAUACUGAGUCAUCUAACAAAUUAAGAGUCUCCAUUGCCACCUGAUGCAAAUUUUACAGAAGAGAAGCUAUCAAUAUUAAUUGAUGAUGUUGAUUUGAACAAUAGCAAGGAUGUAUUGCAAAAUAUUCCUUCUAACGCUUCCAUGUUAUUCCCGGAUGAUAUUCCUUGCUCCUCGCCUUGGGUAGCGAAUGGCGAUAAUAGAAUUCAAACAGGAAAGCGAUCGCCAUCAGUCAUAGAAAACACUCCAGGCAAUUCGCCCAUCCAGAAUAGCAUUAUUGAAAAUGAUUGUGAUAUUACUCCAGUACCUUCGUCAUAUAAUUCAUUUGCCUCAUCACCUGUUAUUUUUGAGUUAAUUCGCAGUCCUGCGGUCGCUACCCCUGUAUUUGACAUUAAUGAAAUCACAUACUCACCGUCCAAUAACGUCAAACAUCGUAAGCGGAUUUCUAUUGCUAAAAAAAUAAAGGAAAGCUAAGAGAACGUUUUCAUAAAAAAUGGAAGGAUCAGGAGAGGAAAUAUAAUGUUAAUAGAGGUUUGGAAUAUGUCAGUUGAAACGGAAGAGUACAUGGUAAGAGAAUUAUGAAAACUUCUUGCCCCGUAACGUGUCGGAAAAAAUGCAGUGAAAAAUUUACAGAAGAUAUUCGGCAAAGAAUUUUUGAUAUGUUUUGGAGUAUUGGAGACCACUCAAGACAAUGGGAUUUUUUGGCAAGGUAAACUGUAAGAGCAGAAAAAAAAAGAUUUACAGUGGAAAAAGAAAAUUCAAAACGUCUUCACACUAUUUCUUAUUACCUUCCAAGUAGUCAAGGAAUAUUGAGACUACAAAAAUAUCGGUUUGCAAAACUAUGUUCUUGAGAAUCCUUUCUAUUAGUUUUAAUUUUGUUUAUACAGCUUUAGAAAAGUCCGAUAAAAGAAAUGGAUUUAUUGAAACGGACCAGCGUUGUAAACAUAUUAAUCACCCAAAAAUUAUAAAUGAAGAAAUCGUACACAGUAUUAUAGAUCACAUUGAAGCAUUUUCUCCUGUAGAAUCACAUUACACUCGCAAAAAAUCAAGUAAAAAAUAUCUUGAGGGCUCUUUAUCCUUCCCAAAAAAGUUUAAGUUAUAUAACGAAUGGUUUGAUCCUAAUAAAUACUCUUCUCAAGCGACUACCGUGAGGUAAUACCGAGAUAUCAUUAAUAAAAACAUCAAUAUAGGUUUUCAUAAACCUAAAAAAGAUGCUUGUAUGUUAGCUAGUUUAAAGUUUAAUAUAGAUAUUAUCCAUCGCUUACUAAUAGUCACACUCAAAAUGAAGCUGACAGUAUGCACGCUUUAAUUGAAAGACAGACAAAAGAUAAAUUGCUGUAUACGCCUGAUCAAUGGUAUACAGCUUUUAGAUUUGCCAAAGCUGAUGAUAAGCCAUACAAAGUGAUUGAAGUGUCUCAGGAUUUAAUAAAGGACUUUAAAUGUAAGCUAAAACUUAUGAACAUUUGAACCACUAAUGAUGGAACAAAAAUUGGCCAUAUUUAACCUAAUGUAAUUAAAAGAAGCAUUGUAUUUUUA
rnacentral:lncRNA from 1 species